UAGACCUGGGGAUUGUGCAAAACAGGGAGGGGAAAUGAGAAUCCAGGACUCCUCCAUUCCCCUGAGUUAUUCCCUCUAGAUAUGCUUUGUAAAAAUGGCUUGUGUUUACUCAGCAUUUACUACAUGCGGGCAAGGCAUUUUGGAGACAUUUACUCCUUACGAUGUAGAUGGGAAAUCUGAAGCUCAAAGAGGUUGAGCAACUUGUCUAAGGCCACCCAGCUCCUAAGGCAUAGCAGGGACUGGAAGAUUCCAGGUGUGAACCCACAGCUCGGGCCAGUAGUCCACUGAGCUGUCCCCGGCCUCAUCCCCAGCCCCUGGACCCACCUAUGUAUGUGUCAUCACUGAGAGCCCAGGGGUGAGGGAUGGCAGUAGUUCCUCAGGGUCUCCCCCUGCCUGGAUUCCUUGAACCCCUCUCCGCCUCCUCUGAGCUGACUAGCAUCCUCUCUCCACCCAGUCCCUGCUUCUCCCAAUUUCAGGAUGCUCAUUGUUGGCUGAGUAAAGCUCAGCCUUAGAGCUAUAUGCACACGCACGCACACCCACUUGCACACACACACACACACUUGCACAUGCGAUGCGCACACACAUACUUGCACACACAGCCACACACGUUUCCCCCCAUUCUGUCUCCUGACUCUGCCCCUGCCAGCCUGGAUGGGGUACACACCCCUUGCCUCCUCCAAGGGUCAAAAUCCUACCUGGCUUUCAAGGGCUGGUUCUAAGUUCCCCUGCUCCUCCAAGGAGCCUGUCCUCAACCCCCAACCCGGUGCACAUUUGUGCUUUGUACCUGUCCAUGUGCCAUCACAGCCAACCUGGCCUUGUAUUCCUAACCAUUCAUUUAUUCAUUCACUUGUUCAACAAAUAUCAGCUAAGCCCCUCCACAGUGGCAGGCACCAGGCCAGGUGCACAUGAUAAAUGGGGGCAGGGUUACCAGGGUGCCUGCCCUCCUGGAGCCUCAAGUCCAGUGUCGGGGAGGGGGGGCACUCCAGGGAAACCUCCUUGAAAACAAGACCUGGGUGUUCUGGACUUUGGGGGGGUCUCUUUCCCCCACCACCCACCUUUCAUGGAUACUGAAACAGGCCUGAUACAUAACAGUUGCCAAGCAGCCCCAGCCAGAGAGACAGACUGGCUUCCUGCUCCUCUGUCUCCCAGUUCUUCUUCCCCCUGAACAGGAACCCCAGCUGGAUCCCCAUCCCUGGACCCGCAGGGGCGCAGGUGGGACGGCCCAUGAGAGGGGCUGCAGGACGGUGACCCAGGGCUGGGGGCGUGCGCGGAGUCAGCCAGGCAGGGUGGGGAGAAUGGAUGGGGACACGUUGCGAGCCCAAACCCUCCCGGCCAGUGGCCUCCCUAACCCCGCAGGGGCCGAGUUCUCCUCUCCAGCCCCGUGGAAUGCCCGCUCCCUGCCACGCCUCUUCCUCUUGGUUUGGGGGUUUCUCUCCUCGCCCUGCGCCCACGCUUUUCCUUCCCAGGAUCUGGCCCCUCCAGGGACCGCUCCCCGCUCUGUCGUGCCCCAAGCUAAGGCAGGAUCUGCUCCCGGGCUCAACCCUCACCGUCGCGGCUGCGCUCUGCGGUGGGGAGCGACCCCAGCUCCUGCCCGCCCCAGAGGCCAUGGCUGGUGUCGGUUGCCUUAGCGACGCCGAGGACGCAAAGGUCUCUUCCCACGCAUGCGUGGAGCCUCCCCUCCCCCUCCUCCCGCCUCGUGCUCCUGGGUGCUCCAUCUCUCUAUUCCCUCCUCUUACCUCCAUCGCGGACCUGGGGUCCCCAGGAGCCCUACCCCACCACCAGGAGGCCCAUCUCCUCCCGGGGAUGUCCACCUCCCGCCGCGCUGCUCCGGGCUUCCCUCCCUGAAUCUUGCCAGUCCCCAGAACUGGGGCUGGGUUGGUGCGGGGGAGGGAGGCGUGCCAUGUUUGUUGAGUGAAUAAGCAAGUGGCUGGGGAGGCUUGGUUUUCGGGUCCCAGAGCCGGAUUGACUCAGCUGAUGAGUUCAAGAGAAACAGAGACUUUUGUAGGAGGAGGCUGGGGGUUAGCAGAGGAUCUGCUCCCUGUCACUCUAUCAGAGAGAGGGGCUUCCUGCCAGCAAAGAGUGGUUUUUGGAGCAGACCAAGGAAGGAAACAUCGCCAGAAUUCAUGGAAUUGGCUGGGGGCUCUGGCUGGAAACACGUGGCCAGCUUCUGGCCUCUCUCCUUGCAGCUGUUUGCCCCCUGUUUCCUGGCCAAGGUGAACCACUGCUCCUCAGACAAGGAAACUCGUGGUGACUUCAGCACCGUGUCCCAGUACUGUCUCCCAUACUGGAAAAGUUACCGAAGCAUGCAUUCUUUUCACAGGAAGUUAGCGAAGUUAGUUCCUUGCUUAAGAACAGGUGAAAGGGGAGAUCUAUUUCUGCAGCUGUGAGCAUCCUAAGAUAGGGCCCCGGCAGCAGUCAAGGAAAAUCCAGACAGGAAGCUGGGAUUAGCACCCCGAGUCGAUUUUCCCCCACUCUCCAUGUCAGCUCCCCUCCUGGCAGUCCUGGAGUUAGAACCAGGAAGACGGUUCCUGCCUCCCCCUUUGCACCCUGGCCCCUGUCUCUAGGGGAGGGGGGCUUGGGCAGUGCUUUCCUGUCCCCAUGGGUCUUAUGUCUUCAAUAGCCAUCAACAGGCUGAGAUCCAGGCACCGGGGUCACAGUCCCCCAGUGAAUGGAACACAAAGGUGCCUCUCUCCGCCUCCACUCUCAAUCCAGGUAGAAAGAGAACCACCCACUUUGCUCAUCGUCAACCAACCUUGACCAAGGAAGCAUCUGCAUGUGCAAGGUGCCAUCUGAAUGCUGGAGACAUAAGCAGUGUGGUCACUGGUCCCAGCAUUGUUGGGAAGUGAAAAUGUAUCCAUGAAAAGAGAGCAGAAAGUGCUCUGUGGGAUCUCCUUCCAAAGAAACGACUGCUCCCCAAGACUUGUGUCACAGUUGGCUUUUGUAGGAAUCCCAACGAAGACAUCAGCUUCCUGCUCACUCCGCAUCUGCCUCCCGGCCACUGAAAACUCCUGGAAAAGGGACUUAAGUAGCUCUGUGAUACGUUUGCAUUCAGAGAUGUGAAAUACUGAAAUAGACAUUGAAGAGAAUGGGUUUGGGUGUACAAUGGUCCAUAGAUUCAACUGAGGGUAGACUGAAGGCAGGGAGCCCAGCAAAGAGGCUGCCACCCUUGUCCCUCUAAGGAAGGCUGCAGCAGGCUAGAGGUACUGUAGGAAACAGGAAGAGGUGAUCAUUCCAGAACCUCAGAA